GGACGGUUAGCUCAGUGGUAGAGCAUCGCCUUCACACGGCGGGGGUCGCAGGUUCAAAUCCUGUACUGUCCACCA
rnacentral:tRNA from 1 species